rnacentral:rRNA from 1 species
AGCUCCAAUAGCGUAUAUUAAAGUUGUUGCAGUUAAAAAGCUCGUAGUUGGAUCUCGGGUGCAGGCGGGCGGUCCGGCUCGCGCCGGUUCACUGCCCGUAUCUCCUGCCCUACUGUUUGCUGCCGGCUCUCUCCCGCGGGUGCUCUUCGCUGAGCGUCCCGGGUGGCCGGCGCGUUUACUUUGAAAAAAUUAGAGUGUUCAAAGCAGGCCUCGGCUGCCUGAAUAAUGGUGCAUGGAAUAAUGGAAUAGGACCUGGGUUCUAUUUUGUUGGUUUUCUCCUCGGAACUGCAGGUAAUGAUUAAAAGGGACAAACGGGGGCAUUCGUAUUGCGGCGUUAGAGGUGAAAUUCUUGGAUCGCCGCAAGACGAGCUACUGCGAAAGCAUUUGUCAAGAAUGUUUUCA